UAUUAGAAAGCGAAUUAUUGCAUUUAGUUUCGGCCUAAACUUUGGGUUUAUCCCUCUAAUAU
rnacentral:tRNA from 1 species